UACGUAGGGUGCGAGCGUUAAUCGGAAUUACUGGGCGUAAAGCGUGCGCAGGCGGUUUUUCAAGUCUGAUGUGAAAGCCCCGGGCUUAACCUGGGAACUGCGUUGGAAACUGAAAGACUAGAGUGCGGCAGAGGGGGGUAGAAUUCCACGUGUAGCAGUGAAAUGCGUAGAUAUGUGGAGGAAUACCGAUGGCGAAGGCGGCUCUCUGGCCUGCACCUGACGCUGAGGCGCGAAAGCGUGGGGAGCAAACAGG
rnacentral:rRNA from 1 species